rnacentral:rRNA from 1 species
AACACAUGCAAGUCGCGGGGCAGCGAGGGUAGCAAUACCUGUCGGCGACCGGCGGAAGGGUGCGUAACGCGUGAGCAACUUGCCCGUGGUUGGGGGAUAACCGGUGGAAACGCCGCCUAAUACCCCGUAACAAUCGGAAUCCCAUGUUUCUGAUUUGAUAGGUAGCAAUACUGUCCACGGAUAGGCUCGCGUCCGAUUAGCCAGUUGGCGGGGCAACGGCCCACCAAAGCUACGAUCGGUAGGGGAUCUGAGAGGAUGGCCCCCACAUUGGGACUGAGACACGGCCCAAACUCCUACGGGAGGCAGCAGUGAGGAAUAUUGGUCAAUGGGCGGAAGCCUGAACCAGCCAUGCCGCGUGCGGGAUGUAGGUCCUAUGGAAUUGUGAACCGCUUUUGCAGUGGAGCAAUAAGGAUGUCGUGACAUUCGAUGAGAGUACACUGCGAAUAAGCAUCGGCUAACUCCGUGCCAGCAGCCGC